UCCUGAGAGAUGCUAGAUACACAGACUUGCUACAGGGUGUUUACGGAGUGGUUAAAGGUGAUUGGUUGAAAUUAGAUUAAGUGAGGCGGGCCCCCUAGUGAAAAUCAGGGGGGGCCAAUUAGAGAAGAGCAGGAAGCAGGGUCCGUGAAAGUCCGUUGCGGGAGCCGUGUGUGUAGUAUUAUCAGUCGUCUCCUACCUCCGCCGCUGGAUUAGUCACUUGCCGGCGGAGCUAUGCGGCGAUUCUCGUGGGCGACAGGGCGAACGGAACCGGUGGACGCCAAUUAAGAGCAAGAGGUAAACAACAGCAAUAUUCUGAUGUAGCCGCUGCACUACCCAGUGGCGCAGCCGGCUGAGGAGCUGCUGGCGCCUAUGGUGGAAGUAGGUGCGGACGAACAGAUCUGUGCGGCGGAUGCAUGUCAAAAAGGGUCACCGACAGUGUUGGAGCAGUCAAUUGGAUAGAUCGACCCUAGAGCUCCUGGCCGGAAAAGAAGGGUGAGGAUAGGUGCUACUGCCCCAGGAAGGCCGCCAUGUCCUAACCGGACUACUGUUCUCGAGAAGGCUAUCCAUGGUUUCGCCGACAAUCCUGGGGACAAUGUCAUUGUGCCAGCUUUGGGUACAACCUUUGAUUCUGUGCGUGAAGCAUACAACUUCUACAACCUGUGUUCGUGGAGAAAGGAUUUGGCAUUAGAUACGGUGAAAGAAGGCUAAAUGUGGAGAGGACAACAUGCAUGCAGGCAAUUGUUUGCGGCUGUGCGGGAAAGGCGGGGUUGAGAACAGUAGGUCGUGUCAUUGCGAUUGCCUUGCUCUCAUCAAGUUGUUGCGGUCCAAAAACAAUGGUUGGUACAUAGCAGAACGCCGUGAGAGGAGCACAACCACAGAAGUUGAUCUAUGGCACAGGAGGUUCACUUUCAGGUUGUGCAAAUGGAGACAAUUCAUUCUGUUAGGUCGAUACUUCGAGGAGCUACUACUUAUUUUAGUCAAAAAGGGUUGAAUUGCUGAGACGACAUGUGUGGAGAGGGGCGACUAUUGACGAUGACGGAGUUCCCGAUGCGACCCAUGAGCAGCUAACAUCAAUAUCGUUUUGAGAAGCAGGGUGUUUUAAUUCAUGAUUUGUUGAUUGCUUGCUUUUUUUCUUGCAAUGGAGGGUUGCAGAUUCCCCUUUCUGGAGGAAUUGGAUGAGAGCGCAACCCUGAUGGAACAGGCAGCGUUCGCGGUGGUUCGUUUGGCCAUGAGUGCGGACAAGAAGGUCCGUGAGGAAGACAGAGUAAAAGGUGUGAGGCGAGAGGCGUUGCCGCCGGAGUCCGAGAUGUUCAACGGGAAGAUGAACCUACAUGCAUCUGGUUGGGUUAAGAGCAGCACGAUCUGGUUGCUGGGAUGAAAAGUGACAAGAGGGAGCUUGAAGAGGAAGACGUUGUUCGGUGGGAAGACGGAUGGCAGUAAAUGGGUCAGCGAAUGCAACGGGCAUUAGAACGCCUGGGGCACGGCCCAGACCGUUGGCAGCCAUCUGAGCCGGCGCUAGCAUGACGGCCAACGUCACAUUAAUGUGUUUGGUUGGUGCGCCAUCGCCAGGAAUAAAGAUGCAUAUACUGCUUUUAAUACGCAGAGAAAUACCUUGUGGAGUGCGAAUCUAAGAGGGAGCGGGCGAUCAGGAUAACGAGCACAUAUCAGCUCGGGCUCAGAUAGGCACUUUCGUACUAAUCGUUCCAUAUACUACCUUUAUUUUUUAAGCAAGGAAAGAACUAUGAGUUGAUGAUGAUGAUGAUAUGUACAUAGUUUGGGCGGGUUGUAUUAGAAUUGUAGGCGGGCUAGUCUCGACAAUUCAACAUCACAUGUUCACGACCCUAUCGGAGCGUGUUUUCCUUGGCCUUUUUAGUGGUACAACUGGAACUUUUACGGGUUUUGUAUUUGUUUCACAUGUUGGUUUAGGUGGGUCAUGUACAUCUCCGA